UAACAGCUGCCUCAGACAUCUGUCAUCUGAAGAACAUUUUCCUUGAGGUCACAGUCACCUCAGAACAGAGAAAAGGAGAGAACCAGGAAGGCGCGAAAAGCAACUGUCAAUCACAACAGGAACAACAAGGCGAGGAGGCGAAGAUGCACGAGCGGCGCUCCAUCUCAAAGAGCGCAUGCGCAGGGAUUUUUUUUUUUUUUUUUUGCUUGUUCAUCUCUCCCUCUCCGCCGGCUGAUUACGUCACGAUCCCGUCAUUCUCAGCGGGGAGCAGUAGAGUGGAGUGAGGCCGAGGCGGAGGAUGUCGGAGAAGAAGCAGCCCGUGGAUUUGGGGCUUCUGGAGGAGGACGACGAGUUCGAGGAGUUCCCGGCCGAAGACUGGGCUGGUUUAGAUGAAGAUGAAGAUGCACAUGUGUGGGAAGACAACUGGGAUGAUGACAAUGUGGAAGAUGAUUUCUCCAAUCAGUUAAGGGCAGAACUAGAAAAACAUGGCUACAAAAUGGAAACCUCAUAGCUUCCAGUGAUGUUGCCAUUUGGCAAUGGACUGUAAAUUUGAAUGCAAAAGUGUAUGGAAUGCAGGAUGGAAGAGAAGACUAUCCAUUAUUAUCCUAAAUUUUGUUUUCUGUUUUGUAUAAAUAAAGAAAAUGAAUCUAAA